rnacentral:rRNA from 1 species
UACAGAGGUCUCAAGCGUUGUCCGGAAUUAUUGGGCGUAAAGAGCUCGUAGGCGGUCUGUUGCGUCGGCUGUGAAAACCCGGGGCUCAACUCCGGGCCUGCAGCCGAUACGGGCAGACUAGAGUUCGGCAGGGGAGACUGGAAUUCCUGGUGUAGCGGUGAAAUGCGCAGAUAUCAGGAGGAACACCGGUGGCGAAGGCGGGUCUCUGGGCCGAUACUGACGCUGAGGAGCGAAAGCGUGGGGAGCAAACAGG